CUGUUUGAGAUGAUGUGUCAAACGGCUGUAAAACAGUCCCCCUGCUUUAACAGGGUUUCCUCCCCUUGGCAGCCGUCGUAAAAAAACAAAAAACCCUGAGGGCCUUCACUCUCGUCCUGCUGGAGUUUCACGCUUUGCAUCUUUAGGUUUUUAAAGUUCCUCUCCAGCUCCUCGUGAUCUGAGUUGGACUCGGAAAAGAGGAACAAGAAGUUAAAUCGCCGAGAUGGAGAGAGGGAGAGUUGAUGAGCUGAGGAGCUGUUAUCGGUGUGUCUAAAGAAAAUAAACCCCCAGAUAAGAAAGGGUGCGAAGAGUCCUGAUCCCCCGACCUCUGAGUCACAGAGACGUGAUGGAAGCUGAUUCAGGCUGAUGGGGAAACGUUCCUGCUGGAGGAAGGGACUGAAAUGGCUUCCAGAUGUGGUUCCAAUCUGUUCCCGGGUUGCCACAGAAACGCGGGGACUGGAAUAGGUUUUUUCGAGUCCAGGGCUUUUUGGCUGACUCACAGGGCCUCAGUUUUUUUAAAAGCCUCGCUGCUGCUGUAGAUUUGGCACGACGAGGGCGCCCCGGCUCCAAGUCGUGUUUGGACUGGCAGCCGAGAUGUCACCGAACCCCCUUCCCAAACUCCUCACCCUGACUUUUUGACCGGGCCCUCGCGUUAUUCGGUAUAGUCGCUCCUUUGUGUUUCACACGUCCACCUUCAACACCAAGUGAAUGAAACGAGCAAAAUAUGAUUCCCAGCCUAACUGCAGAGGGGAUAUGACGAGGCCAAGUUCCAUAAUCACACACAGGCUUUGCACGUUUGAAUCCAUUCAAACACAGAAAUCCCUCACAGGAGAUGAUGCAGAUCAUCAAUCACCUCAGUUUAUCCUGAACACGCUGGUGACACGCAAGGCUCCUUCACAAGCUGUGACUUUCCCACCACAUGUCAGGGAUGAAACGCCAGAGAGCAUGUGUUGGGACGACUCAGCUGAGGAUCUCCUCCAUCUGCGGGCGGAGAGGACGAGCAGAUGGAGGCAGUUGUGUCUACGUGCCUCAGCAUCGUGGCAGUGAAUCAGACUUCAGGACGUUGUCA